rnacentral:misc_RNA from 1 species
GAAAUACUGCUCUCUUGUCAUCACAUUAGCAGCAAAAUUUUCAUUCCAUACAAUAAGAUUUCUGUAUCAGCAGGUUCAUGUUACAUUACUUCUCAUUACGAACAAGCAAGUCACUAUUCUCAAUCACUAUUGAAAUCCAUCAUUAUUCAGAGAUUAGGAUUAUGUAAAUGUUGCCCACCUGUCCAAAUUUCUCCAGGACGCAAAAUCACUGGCUUAAGCAUUGCUGAUUGUCCUACACAUAUGAAUGAGUACAUGCCAAAGCUUUCAUGGAUUGAGCCAGGACUAAACAUGUAUAGUUCUUCAAACCCAUCCCUUGCUAUGACAACUGAGUUUCUUCUACCCUGUUUUGUAAUAAGAAGAGGGAAAGGAUUUGUCAGCAUAUUAAAGGAAAACAAGAUUAAAAGAACAAGGUAAAACCGUACUCAUUGUACGUGAACUUUGUUGUGUAUAUCCAAGAGUUUGGAUUAACUACUGCAGCUUCUAAACUCUUUUCUGGGGUCAACCAACUACAAUUCUAGCUAAGGUAGAAAUAUCAAAUAUUUUCUAUAAUUGGCAAUUUACCAAGUGAAGCCCUCGACAGAAAUCAGAGUUCUGAGAUUGGUAAGUUUUGAACCUGGGUGUUCAUAUUUUUUUAUUUUAGAUUCAAUCACUUACAUCUAAGAGAAAAUUAAAAAAAAAGGGAAGAAGGAAAGAAAAGGGAACUGAAUUCUUGAGUGAUUAAGAAGAGUACCCUGUCAAUGAUUGUGAAAUCCCGCGGAGCAUUGGUAUAAAUCCUGCUCAUUUCCUCAGUUAAAUGCUUGUAGCUAUCAGACUCUUCACCCUCCAUUUCUUUUUCGCUCUCUAUUUGCCUGAUGUUCCUUUUAUCAGAGUUCUUUUGAUCUCUUGCACCCCAGCCAGAUCCUUUGAGCCUCACAAUAUCUCUUGGUUUCCCAGAACCAUCUCUGCUUUCUGGGCCAAGGUCAGGAGGAACUAUGCUCAAAUUUGACAAGAACAUAGGCCUGUUAAAGAAAUUUGAUCCCUCUAAGCCACAUGCAUAAGUCGCUUCUGGUGUGCUUACUGUUAGAUGGCUUAUAAGGGAUCCCAUCAACUGGAUCGAUGAAGAAUUUGAGUUCAAAACAGUGACCUUUGAGCUUAAGGUGUCUUCUUCCAGAUUCAUAACGUGUCUUAUUUCAACCAUAUCUUCUGCAUCUGUGCUUAUCAGUUCAACCUGCAUUCCGCAACUUCCUACUUCAAGAAUGCGUUUAUAACUCCAAGUAUAAAAGAAUAAUCUUUCAAGAAUUGACAAGAUUAUAUAGACAUACCUGAAUAGAGUCUUGAGGAGAACCUCUAAUGGCAUGAACAGCCCAAGUGCUUGGAGACCAUGAAGUUUCACAAUCACUUCCAAAGUUGAAGGCUAAGGAUACCCCUCCUUGUAUGACAGGAUUACCAUCUUCCCCCUUGGAGACAGUUGUUUGCAGCAGUUCAACUGUGCCACCAUGCCACAUAUGUGCCUUGUAUGAUGUGAUCAGGCCACUUGGAAGCAUCAGGGUGGCUGCACUCCCAUUCUCCAGUUUCAUCUUGGCAAUGUAGCUGUCGCCAAUAUCUUCGAAAGUUACUCCAUGUCCACUGAAUUCUUCCUCCAAGUAGUCUACAUUUAUCGGUUCGUAUGGGAUUGAAGCUACAGAAGGAAUUGGGAAUUCUCUCUUCUUGUUGCUGUAUUGAAAAGAAAUAGAGGGAAGGUAAGAAUGAAAACAAAAUGGAUGUUUGGUGGGGGAACUUGUGGAGGGGAUGGAAGCAAAGUUCAGUGAAAAUAGAGAACUGGAAGCCAUAGUCAACCCUUCUUUUCAAUUGUGUAUUAAAGUGGGCAUCAUUAAGCAGACGAUAGAACUGCAUACUUUAUACACAUAAUUUAAUAAAAGGAAAAGGAAGUUAUGGGGCCCACUUAUCCAUGCCUUCCCUGCUGUUGGAUAACUCAGCCACUACUUUUGGUUGGUUCUAAUUGAUAACUACUUGGAUAUUUUGAAAUAUAUAUCUUUCUAUUUUUCUUUGAAGUUUUUUGACAAUUUCUGCUAUCCAAUUCCAAUUUUGUUGGCCAAGCAUUCAACCUUAUCCUUUCAGAUAAUAGAAAGAAAUUACUGUGAUUUUUUUUUUUUACCUUUU